rnacentral:rRNA from 1 species
UACGAAGGGGGCUAGCGUUGUUCGGAAUCACUGGGCGUAAAGGCGCGUAGGCGGCCAUAUAAGUCGGGGGUGAAAGCCUGUGGCUCAACCACAGAAUUGCCUUCGAUACUGUAUGGCUCGAGACCGGAAGAGGUAAGUGGAACUGCGAGUGUAGAGGUGAAAUUCGUAGAUAUUCGCAAGAACACCAGUGGCGAAGGCGGCUUACUGGUCCGGUUCUGACGCUGAGGUGCGAAAGCGUGGGGAGCAAACAGG